CUGUUUUUUAUUCUGGUGGUAUUUUUGGUUCAAUUUGGUUUGUUCUAAAGGAAAUAUUAUUUUCAAUUAGUCAUACAGGAUAACUAAAGAACAGCAACAACAAUUGCCAAGUCCUAGAAAUUAACCAAUUACUGGGUUUUGAAAAGGCAAAUGGAAGUUCUUGACACCCAUUGUUAAGUCUACAGAGGAGCAAAAUUUGGGUGGUUAUCCGCUCUGAGUCCUUUCAGGGAGAUAGGGUGGAAUACAAACAAAUGGAUGGAUGUAGAUAAUUUUACACACUGAAGAAAGAGAAAGUGAUACAUUUAUAUUUUCAACCAGCAAUCAGUUGGAUUCAUUUGUCAUUUAUAUGAUAAGAGAUUUUGACUUCAAAAAUGAACGGUCACUCUUUGCAGGUGCUUCUCAGUGUCCUCACAGGCAAAAGAUCGCUCUAUGGAUUUCAUGCAUUGGGAAUGUUAUCCUUCUGGCAUCUCUGGUUGUCUUGGCUUUGCAGUUGGAGAACAAGAAAGGAAAGAGUAGGGUGAAUGACAGCAAAUGGACUAACAUGGUGGAAUGUAAUACCUCUUCAGACAAAUUUAAGUAUCAUCUAAGAAGCACACUAUGCAACCAAACCUCAGGUAGGGAAUAUACAUUGUAGUUUUCCCGCCUAUGUGCACUCCUUAUUUAGAU
rnacentral:lncRNA from 11 species